GCGGUAAUACAUGGGGGGCAAGCGUUAUCCGGAUUUAUUGGGCGUAAAGGGUGCGUAGGCGGUUAAAUAAGUCUAUGGUAUAAGUUCAACGCUUAACGUUGUGAUGCUAUAGAAACUGUUUGACUAGAGUUGGAUAGAGGCAAGUGGAAUUCCAUGUGUAGCGGUAAAAUGCGUAAAUAUAUGGAGGAACACCAGUAGCGAAGGCGGCUUGCUGGGUCUUAACUGACGCUGAGGCACGAAAGCGUGGGGAGCAAACAGGAU
rnacentral:rRNA from 1 species